AUACAGAGGGUGCGAGCGUUAAUCGGAAUUACGGGGCGUAAAGCGCGCGUAGGCGGCUUGGUCAGUCGGAUGUGAAAGCCCCGGGCUCAACCUGGGAAUGGCAUUCGAUACUGCCAGGCUAGAGUAUGGGAGAGGGAAGUGGAAUUUCCGGUGUAGCGGUGAAAUGCGUAGAUAUCGGAAGGAACACCAGUGGCGAAGGCGACUUCCUGGCCCAAUACUGACGCUGAGGUGCGAAAGCGUGGGGAGCGAACAGGAUUAGAAACCCCAGUAGUCC
rnacentral:rRNA from 1 species